UAUUUGAGGGAAGUAUAAAGAUUUUGAAGGUAAAUUUUACACUGUAUGAACACAACGGAGCGCAACUUAGUUGAUAAGACGUUUCUCCUCUAACUAAUAGGUUGAGGUUCAAAUCAUCAAGGGGGAAAAUGUGGAAUUAUUAUUGAUCAUUUUUGAAAAAAAAAAAAAACUUUACUCUGUAUGAACAACUGAUUCCAAUUUUCCCGGGCAGCCCCUUUUCCCACAUUUUCAUUCCAAAUCAUGAUAAUAUUAUCAUGACCUGCAGGUGUGAUUAAAUUUUUCCAUGAUCUAUAUUUUUUUGAUCUUUCAAUUUU
rnacentral:lncRNA from 1 species